rnacentral:rRNA from 2 species
UAGGGAAUCUUCCACAAUGGACGCAAGUCUGAUGGAGCAACGCCGCGUGAGUGAAGAAGGGUUUCGGCUCGUAAAGCUCUGUUGGUAGUGAAGAAAGAUAGAGGUAGUAACUGGCCUUUAUUUGACGGUAAUUACUUAGAAAGUCACGGCUAACUACGUGCCAGCAGCCGCGGUAAUACGUAGGUGGCAAGCGUUGUCCGGAUUUAUUGGGCGUAAAGCGAGUGCAGGCGGUUCAAUAAGUCUGAUGUGAAAGCCUUCGGCUCAACCGGAGAAUUGCAUCAGAAACUGUUGAACUUGAGUGCAGAAGAGGAGAGUGGAACUCCAUGUGUAGCGGUGGAAUGCGUAGAUAUAUGGAAGAACACCAGUGGCGAAGGCGGCUCUCUGGUCUGCAACUGACGCUGAGGCUCGAAAGCAUGGGUAGCGAACA